rnacentral:rRNA from 1 species
UACGGAGGGGGCUAGCGUUGUUCGGAAUUACUGGGCGUAAAGAGCGCGCAGGCGGUCGUUCAAGUCGAGUGUGAAAGCCCCCGGCUCAACUGGGGAGGGUCACUCGAUACUGAUCGACUUGAAGGCAGGAGAGGGAAGCGGAAUUCCCGGUGUAGUGGUGAAAUGCGUAGAUAUCGGGAGGAACACCAGUGGCGAAGGCGGCUUCCUGGCCUGUUCUUGACGCUGAGGCGCGAAAGCUAGGGGAGCAAACGGG